rnacentral:lncRNA from 1 species
ACUUUAAAUAACGACUUCUGUUGGGGAGGGCUCUUCUUGGAGUGAUGGUGGUGAUGGAGGUGGAAGGGCCGAGGGGGGCGAGUUCAGAACUUUGCCUGGACUGGGAGGGUGGGAGGACCUGGAGGGAGGAACAAAAGUCGUUUUGUUUGGUGAUGCCGAGUUGACUGGGCCGCCUUGGAACCCCUCACCCAGGAAGGCAGCGAACUGUUUGCUUGUUUACAGCGAAGGUGAGAGUCAAGUUAUCUAUUGAGAGAGGCGAACGGGGAGGGAGAGUGUCAGGGAGCCAGGAAUCUAUCUGAGGACUUCAUAGAAGCGUGCUCGGAUCAAGUCCCAAAUCUUUGGCAUGGUGUUUAUUGGACAAGUGAAGUGUAUUGCAAAUUAGUACCCGAGGUGGCAUUUAUGAAUGAGAAGGGGAAAAAGAAAAUCAACUUCCCCCAUCGUCUGGCAGAUUCCCAAGCAGAGGUCUUCCCCCGUACGCCAACCCCCCUCCCCGCCCCCUCCGCUUUUUGGUAUGUCGUACUUGUUUGUUUUUGGAGGUUCCCACUUUAGUUCCAGCCCACUGCCUGGGUUGGAAGUCCGAGAGGAAACGAACGCAGGGAGCUCUCUGGGAGGCGGACUUACACUUCCUCACGGAUGCGGGAGACUGGGUAAGCCCUUCCAGGCUCCCUCCGCGGGCGGGAGGCGACGCUAACUAAGCAGCCAGCCAGCAGCGGAGGGGACCACCAUGGAGUGAUUUGUAUUGAGAUCAUCACCUGUAUAUACUGCAAAACCAAACCAGAUUCCAGCACCAUUGUGCCCAGUGGAUCUCUGGAAAAAGCAGACUCCUUGACGCUGAAAGUUUUGCGGGGCUUUUUAACUCCUUUCCUUGGGACCAUUUAGAAGCCUCCCACUUCAAGUGAAUUGCAAUGCUUUGCUCUCUAAGUAAAGAAAAAUAAGAGAUUUAGGAUGUAAUAUUCUGUAGUAAAAAAAAAAAAGAAGUUAGCAAUUUUAAGGUCCUAUUCUACCCUAUUCUACCAGCAACACAUUCAGUAGAAGACCUCCUACAAAACAAGUUACUUGAACUUCAAAUACCGUUAGUGUGAUGGACAAAUCUUCCCUCAAAGUUUAAAAAACUAUCUUCUUGUGUAACUUUCAUAAAAACAUACACAGUAAUUAUGCCAGUUUCCCUUAUAUGUGCUCUGGGAGAAAUCCUUGUCCUUUGCGAUGUUUAGGGCUGUUCAGUCUAAAUGACUGAGAAGUCUUGCUGAAGAAGGCCUUCAGUGUGACUUUUCUGUGAAUGACUCUUAUGAACACAAUAAGAAGCUAUUGCAAUGAAAACACUCUCCAAUGGAGAGAACUGUGGCAGGAAAGAGUUAAGUUUCAUUCAUUCAAAAGUGCUCUUCCAGAAGUCUAAGAAGCUGUUACUAGAGGGAGCAGGAUGUCUAAGGUUUGGUUGGAGGCACGUGGGGUGGGGAACUUACUUUUCAAGACAAUAGACUGUCAGGUGUUCUAGGCCCUGCAUCCUGCCCAAGCCAAUUCAUCAGUUAUUAUUUAGAAAACGGUUUUGUUGUGUUCCUGUGUUCAGCUUUCAUUACUGUUUCCUUCUUAAUGAAGUGACUGGGGAUGGGGAGAGUAGGUACAGUACAGGGGGGGAGGAGGUGGCGAAGAGGGAAUGGACAGGAGCGUUCCUGGCUUCUGUUGUGGCGUCUCUUCUAUUUGACUUCAUGGUUGUAAGUAUUUCCAGAUGGUGAAUCAGACACCAGACGUAACAAUAUUUCCAUAUUUGGGUAUAGCAGUAGCCUGCGUUUUUAACAUUUUUCUGCCUCUGUUAUCCAGCCACAAAGCAUUCUUGACAGCUUCAAAUGUUGUUAAAUAUAGACUUAACUUCUGUUCCCAGAGCAGGAAAUUCUUUGGAAUUCCUUGUUUUUCACGCAAUCUGUCUAUCAUAAUCUAAAAUAAAAUUACAGUGGAUGAUCC